GUUCCUACGGGAGGCAGCAGUCGGGAAUAUUGCGCAAUGGAGGAAACUCUGACGCAGUGACGCCGCGUAUAGGAAGAAGGUUUUCGGAUUGUAAACUAUUGUCGUGAGGGAAGAAAUUGACAGUACCUCAGGAGGAAGCUCCGGCUAACUAUGUGCCAGCAGCCGCGGUAAUACAUAGGGAGCAAGCGUUAUCCGGAUUUAUUGGGUUUAAAGGGUGCGUAGGCGGUCCGUUAAGUCAGCGGUAAAAUUGCGGGGCUCAACCCCGUCGAGCCGUUGAAACUGGCAGACUUGAGUUGGCGAGAAGG
rnacentral:rRNA from 1 species